UGGGGAAUCUUGGACAAUGGGGGCAACCCUGAUCCAGCCAUGCCGCGUGAGUGAUGAAGGCCUUAGGGUCGUAAAGCUCUUUCGCCUGUGAAGAUAAUGACGGUAGCAGGUAAAGAAACCCCGGCUAACUCCGUGCCAGCAGCCGCGGUAAUACGGAGGGGGUUAGCGUUGUUCGGAAUUACUGGGCGUAAAGCGCACGUAGGCGGACCAGAAAGUUGGGGGUGAAAUCCCGGGGGCUCAACCCCGGAAACUGCCUCCAAAACUAUUGGUCUAGAGUUCGAGAGAGGUGAGUGGAAUUCCAAGUGUAGAGGUGAAAUUCGUAGAUAUUUGGAGGAACACCAGUGGCGAAGGCGGCUCACUGGCUCGAUACUGACGCUGAGGUGCGAAAAGUGUGGGGAGCAAAACAGGAUUAGAUACCCCUGGUAGUCCACACCGUAAAACGAUGAAAUGCCAGUCGUCGGGUAGCAUGCUAUUCGGUGACACACCUAACGGAUUAAGCAUUCCGCCUGGGGAGUAC
rnacentral:rRNA from 1 species